rnacentral:rRNA from 1 species
CAUUCACGGAGAGUUUGAUCCUGGCUCAGGACGAACGCUGGCGGCGUGCUUAACACAUGCAAGUCGAACGAUGAAGCCCUUCGGGGUGGAUUAGUGGCGAACGGGUGAGUAACACGUGGGCAAUCUGCCCUGCACUCUGGGACAAGCCCUGGAAACGGGGUCUAAUACCGGAUAUGACCAUCUUGGGCAUCCUUGAUGGUGUAAAGCUCCGGCG